rnacentral:rRNA from 1 species
UGAGCAACCUGCCCUUAGCUCUGGGAUAACCCCGGGAAACCGGGGCUAAUACCGGAUACGAGUCUGAGCGGCAUCACACGGACUGGAAAGUUUUUCGGCUAAGGAUGGGCUCGCGGCCUAUCAGCUUGUUGGUGGGUGAUGGCCUACCAAGGCGACGACGGGUAGCCGGCCUGAGAGGGUGACCGGCCACACUGGGACUGAGACACGGCCCAGACUCCGUACGGGAGCAGCA